GUGGGGAAUUUUGGACAAUGGGCGCAAGCCUGAUCCAGCAAUGCCGCGUGCAGGAAGAAGGCCUUCGGGUUGUAAACUGCUUUUGUACGGAACGAAACGGUCCGGGUUAAUACCCUGGGCUAAUGACGGUACCGUAAGAAUAAGCACCGGCUAACUACGUGCCAGCAGCCGCGGUAAUACGUAGGGUGCAAGCGUUAAUCGGAAUUACUGGGCGUAAAGCGUGCGCAGGCGGUUUGUAAGACAGGCGUGAAAUCCCCGGGCUCAACCUGGGAAUUGCGCUUGUGACUGCAAGGCUGGAGUGCGGCAGAGGGGGAUGGAAUUCCGCGUGUAGCAGUGAAAUGCGUAGAUAUGCGGAGGAACACCGAUGGCGAAGGCAAUCCCCUGGGCCUGCACUGACGCUCAUGCACGAAAGCGUGGGGAGCAAACAGGAUUAGAUACCCCUGUAGUCC
rnacentral:rRNA from 1 species